AGGGCUUGGGGAAAGCUUUCCCUGUCAUGGAAGUAAGAGGAGGGAAAUUCAGUAGGUGAACUUUGAUUCUGCCUGAGAAUUGGAUCUGGGCUCUUGGGCGUCUUUGAGGAAGAACUGCAAUUUCAAAGCUUCUGCCAAUUCUUUGUGCUGCUAAAAAUGGAAACCCAAAUUAGUCUGUGGGGGCCAAUGCUUUCUUGUGGAGAAAACGUUCUUAAUUGAGCUUUUAUCUGUGCAAAAGGAA
rnacentral:lncRNA from 1 species